UUGGUUUCAAGUCAGCCUCAUUUAUUUUAUGACUACUUGCAGACUCGUUGAGUUUGGCCCUGUGGCUACCCGCAAAUUUCUUUAUCCUUUUUAGUGAAACUCAAAGUCAAUACAAAUUGGCUUCUUAAUUUGUCAGACAGCUUUUAUUUUUACAUCUAAUUUUGUUCGCUCCCCGGACUUUAUCAAAUGCAGAUGCACUAAAUCACCCUUCUAUUCAUACAUGCUCGACUUCUUUCUUUGAGGGGCAAAGAUGCCUAACUAUUACCUCUAGUUGAUAUUUAAUUUCCCAAAAAAAAUACUGUUCCUUCUGUAUCAAAAUAAUUAUUUUUUAUUAAUUACAAAUUUUAUUUUUUAAUUUUAUAAUUAAUGUAUAAAAGCUAUCCUCAAUUGGUUUCAAUGGGGAUAGCUCAGCAAUGGAAAACAAAAUGAUGGGAGGAUAAAUAUUGUCUUUCUGCUUCUCCAAAAACUUAUUAAAAAAAGACUUUGAAAAGAGCGAAGGGCAAAGCUGAAAGCAGGCUUUUGAGCCUUUGUCUUUUAUUUGUCUCUGCGGAUGCUGUGCCUGUUCUUAAUGUCAAAUCUACUUCAUCAUUCUUUGUGGAUUUAGCAGUGGAUUCCCUUCAUACAUGUUAUAGUGUUCAUUGUUGGCAGAAGCUGGGCUUUAUGAGAGGAAAGAGAAAGCUGCAAAGAGAGAAGUGUCUGUCGUAUUCAAGAGAUUAUCAAGGAACUGAGCAUGUAACUGUUGAUUAUUUGGAGGUCAAUGACUCCAUUGGAAUACUAGCUAGAAGUAGGUAUACCAACAAUGAUGUUGUUGCUGCUGUGAUCCUUGGUACUAGAUCAAAUGUGACUUAUGUGGAACGUGCAUAGGUGCAAACGGGGACACAUUCCUUUACAUUUAAUCAUGUUUAUGGAAAUGGUGGUUCUCUGUAUCUUCCAUGUUUGAAGAAUGUGUUGCUUCUCUGGUUGAAGGUUUGUUCCAAAGAUAUAAUGCUACUGUACUUGUUUAUGGUCAGGUAAUAUCGGUUGAUAUAUGAGAGCUGUUCGAAGUUAAACAAGCUUUUCUUAGUGUCUUGAUAUUUAUGUUCAUGGUUGACAUGUGCAAUUGUCCCAAACGGGAUUUGGGAAGACAUAUACCAUGGGGACAAGUAUAAAAAAGGGUUGCCAGAUAGGAUUGAUUCCUCGAGUUAUGAAUGCAUUGUUUAAGAAAAUUGAAACAUAGAAGCAUUAAACAGUGUUGCAGCUGCAUGUUCCUUCAUAGAGGUAAUGAAAGAAAUAUUUAUAUGGUUUCGCAUCCCAUAAAAAAAAAACUUCUUCAUAUUUGCUACUUAGAGUAGAUAUAAUAAAUUCAAAACUCAAAACCAAAAAAUUUUAAUUUGAUAUUCUUUUCAUAUGUACUCCAAGAAGCAAAAGUAUAAUUCUUUUUAUUUGUAGUAUUGACAAUCUGCUGUUUAUGUUUGGAAAUGAAAUAGUUUUUUUCAGCUGUGGUCUGCAGUUAGCUGAUUCUCUUAUAUUUGCAGGCAGUGAACAGGUGUACCAAAAAUUGAACGAGUCAAAAGAAAGCAAAAGUGGAACUUACAUUUUAGGAUUGAGUUUUAAGUUUUAUCUCAAUUAUGUCAUUAGACUGACUAC